rnacentral:rRNA from 1 species
GAUGAACGCUAGCGGCAGGCUUAAUACAUGCAAGUCAAGGGGGUAGCAAUACAACCGGCGCACGGGUGAGUAACGCGUACACAACAUACCAUAUACUGGGGUAUAGCUUCGGGAAACUGAAGGUAAUCCCCAUAAUAUUGCGGGAAGGCAUCUUUCUGCAAUUAAAGUUUCGACGGUAUAUGAUUGGUGUGCGUUUGAUUAGCUAGUUGGUAGGGUAACGGCCUACCAAGGCGACGAUCAAUAGCUGGCGUGAGAGCGCGACCAGCCACACUGGAACUGAGACACGGUCCAGACUCCUACGGGAGGCAGCAGUAGGGAAUAUUGGACAAUGGGCGAAAGCCUGAUCCAGCCAUGCCGCGUGAUAGAUGAAGGCCCUCUGGGUUGUAAUAUCUUUAUCUGGAAGAACUACCUCUAUUCUUAGAGGCCUGACGGUACCAGAGGAAUAAGCACCGGCUAACUCCGUGCCAGCAGCCGCGGUAAAGU